rnacentral:rRNA from 1 species
GAUUCUGGCUCAGGAUGAACGCUAGCGACAGGCCUAACACAUGCAAGUCAGGGGGCAGCACAAGGAGCAAUCUGAGGUGGCGACCGGCGCACGGGUGAGUAACACGUAUGCAACCUGGCUGUAAGAGGGGAAUAACCCGGAGAAAUCCGGACUAAUACCGCAUAAUACUUAGAAUCCGCAUGGAUUUUUAGUUAAACAUUUAUGGCUUACAGAUGGGCAUGCGUAUGAUUAGCUGGUUGGAGAGGUAACGGCUCCCCAAGGCAACGAUCAUUAGGGGUUCUGAGAGGAAGGUCCCCCACACUGGUACUGAGACACGGACCAGACUCCUACGGGAGGCAGCAGUGAGGAAUAUUGGUCAAUGGACGCAAGUCUGAGCCAAGCCAAGUCGCGUGAAGGAAGAAUGUCCUAUGGAUUGUAAACUUCUUUUGAAGGGGAAUAAAGUACGGUACGUGUACCGUUUUGUAUGUACCCUUCGAAUAAGGAUCGGCUAACUCCGUGCCAGCCGCCGC